UAAAACUCUCACGGUCACCCAAUGACAGUCAGUCCCUAGGAGUCCUGGAAUGGCUGUAAAUCCACCAUUUCCUGCAAUUCAUCAAAACCUGGUCUUUAAAUGGUUUUGACUUUCUUCAGAAACGUCACCAUAUAUCACAGCGUGGCAGUCCCCUGUGCCCCUCUUCCUCUGUAUGGCUGGGUUGCCUUUCAGACAAGCGUUUUAUGUCAAGCGUGGAUGCUUUGGACGUUCUAGGAAGAAAGCUGGGAACCCCGAGAUCUCAAUCUCGGGCUCUCUCUGAUGCCCUACCUAAACACCAAGGAAAUGUGUGGUAGUCCUGGGGAUUGGUGGCACCAUUCAAGGCUCUCAUAUUUCAUGUUCCAGCCAGCUCACCUUCCACAUCUUCUAUGAGCUGCAUUCACUUAGGACCCUGUACCCAGACGUGAUUUGGGUCCUCAAAGAUUCUUGAACUGACCUUCUCCAUGUUGGAACAGAAAGAUGUCUAUAAUUAAGUGAGUCCAUAAUUUAUGUCGGCAGCCAGCAGCCCCAAACGUCACACCCAUUGUCUCCCCACCACACCCGGAUAUUGCAAUUGAUACUAAUUGUAAAUAGCAUUGGCUGAGUA